rnacentral:rRNA from 1 species
UUAAGUCAGUAGUGAAAUCUUAAAGCUUAACUUUAAAAUUGCUAUUGAUACUGAGAAACUAGAGUUAGUUUGGAGUAGCUGGAAUGUGUGGUGUAGCGGUGAAAUGCGUAGAUAUCACACAGAACACCAAUAGCGAAAGCAAGUUACUAAGCCUACACUGACGCUGAGUGCACGAAAGCUUGGGGAGCAAACAGGAUUAGAUACCCUGGUAGUCCAUGCUGUAAACGAUGAUCACUAACUAUUGGGUUUUGUACGUUGUAAUUCAGUGGUGAAGCGAAAGUGUUAAGUGAUCCACCUGAGGAGUACGACCGCAAGGUUGAAACUCAAAGGAAUUGACGGGGGCCUGCACAAGCGGUGGAGCAUGUGGUUUAAUUCGAUAAUACACGAGGAACCUUACCAAGACUUAAAUGUACUACGAAUAAAUUGGAAACAAUUUAGUCUAACGACGGAGUACAAGGUGCUGCAUGGUUGUCGUCAGCUCGUGCUGUGAGGUGUAAGGUUAAGUCCUUAAACGAGCGCAACCCUUAUUAUUAGUUGCCAUCGAGUAGUGUCGGGGACUCUAAUAAGACUGCCGGCGCAAGCCGAGAGGAAGGUGGGGACGACGUCAAAUCAUCACGGCCCUUACGUCUUGGGCCACACACGUGCUACAAUGGUCAGUACAAAAGGGAGCGACUGGGUGACCAUGAGCAAAUCGAUAAAACUGAUCUAAGUUCGGAUUGGAGUCUGAAACUCGACUCUAUGAAGCUGGAAUCGCUAGUAAUCGCAUAUCAGCUAUGUUGCGGUGAAUAUGUUCCCGGGCCUUGUACACACCGCCCGUCAAGCCA